GCUCAGUUGGUUAAGCGUCUGACUCUUGAUUUCAGCUCAAGUCACGAUCCCAUAGUUGUGGGAUCGAGCCUCGCAUUGGGCU
rnacentral:tRNA from 1 species